ACGAGUUAGGGUCUUCUAGGCCCGACCUCCCAACCCUUUGUUUACCGAACCUCUGUUGCUUCGGCGGGCCCGUCUCACGACCGCCGGAGGACCGCCGCGAGGCGUCCUCUGGCCCGCGCCCGCCGACGGCCAACUAUUAUAAUUCUGAAUCAACCGUGUCUUAUGUCUAAGUCUAUGAUUAAAUCUAAAAGCA
rnacentral:misc_RNA from 2 species